rnacentral:rRNA from 1 species
GAUGAACGCUGACAGAAUGCUUAACACAUGCAAGUCGAAUGAGAAAGUUACUUAGGUAAUGAGUAGCAUGGCGGACGGGUGAGUAACGCGUAAAGAACCUGCCCUUUGGAAUGGGAUACCCCUUGGAAACGAGGGAUAAUACCAAAUAUAAUGUAUAAAUGGCAUCAUUAAUACAUGAAAGAUUUUAAUCGCCGGAGGAGGGCUUUGCGUCCUAUUAGCUAGUUGGUAAGGUAAGAGCUUACCAAGGCGAUGAUAGGUAGCCGGCUUGAGAGGGUGAACGGCCACAAGGGGACUGAGAUACGGCCCUUACUCCUACGGGAGGCAGCAGUGGGGAAUAUUGGACAAUGGAGGAAACUCUGAUCCAGCAAUUCUGUGUGCACGAAGAAGGUUUUAGGAUUGUAAAGUGCUUUUAUCAGGGAAGAAGGAAGUGACGGUACCUGAAGAAGAAGCGACGGCUAAAUACG